rnacentral:lncRNA from 1 species
UGGUGGGACAGAAGGGUUGAUCUGAAAGAAAACUGUGUUCUUUUAUUUGCACAAUUCCAGGAGGAGAAUGCGAAACAAAUACAGGCUGUUCUUUGCAACUAAGGGCAUUUAAUUAAUCAGCUCUUAAACGUGAGCAGAUUAUUGUAGUCUAGCAGAUUUCAAGUUUAAGAUAUCUGUGACGGGUAUUUCUAUUAAGAAAGAAAAUCAAGAUCCUUAUGUUCCUUGCCAUUCAUUCAUUUUUUUCUGUUUUUUAUUUCAGAUAUUGAUGAAUGCCAGGCUGAUAAUGGUGGAUGUGAUCAGUUCUGUAGAAACACUAUUGGUAGUUUUGACUGCAGCUGCAAAAAAGGCUUCAAAUUAUUAUCUGAUGAAAAAUUAUGUCAGGACAUUGAUGAAUGCUUGUUCGAAAGGACAUGUGACCAUAUAUGCAUCAAUCACCCAGGCACUUUUGAGUGUACUUGCAACCAAGGAUACACACUCUAUGGCUUUACACAUUGUGGAGAUAUUAAUGAGUGCAGCAUCAACAAUGGAGGGUGCCAGCAUACCUGCCUAA